UCGAGAAUUUUUCUCAAUGGGCGAAAGCCUGAAGGAGCGACGCCGCGUGGGGGAUGAAGGGCUUCGGUCCGUAAACCCCUGUCAUUUGCGAACAAACCUUACUCAUGAAUAGUGAGUGAGCUGAUUGUAGCGAAAGAGGAAGGGACGGCUAACUCUGUGCCAGCAGCCGCGGUAAUACAGAGGUCCCAAGCGUUGUUCGGAUUCACUGGGCGUAAAGGGUGCGUAGGUGGCGGGGUAAGUUUGAUGUGAAAUCUCCGGGCUUAACCCGGAAACUGCAUUGAAUACUAUUCUGCUGGAGGUUUGGAGGGGGGACUGGAAUUCUCGGUGUAGCAGUGAAAUGCGUAGAUAUCGAGAGGAACACCAGUGGCGAAGGCGAGUCCCUGGACAACACCUGACACUGAGGCACGAAAGCUAGGGGAGCAAACAG
rnacentral:rRNA from 1 species